CAAUGACUGUAAAAAAUAUGGACGACGCGACAGCCCUUUUCCCCAUUGAACGCCUUGAGGGCAAAACGCCUGCUUGACGGGCACAAACUGUCGCAAAAGACUGCUGAAAUUGGAGCCUUGACAUGCGCAGAAGGACUGUCUGAUGGAGCCAGAGGAGGAGCCGCGAAAUUGAGCGGAGUCGAGCUUCCAACCAAACGCUUUAUGUAAAAUCAACCACGCCCCCCGAACUUCUCACUCGACUGCCGGUGUCUGCACUAUAACAAACGCUCACUGAUGUAAAUAGAAGCACUUGCAUUAAAAAAAAAACACAAUAAUAUACGGUUUAAAAACGGUGUGAUGUAAGCUGUUAAACUUUAAUAAAAGCAAUACAUGGUGGACUGCAGAAAUAAACGAUCUUUUAUACACUCUA
rnacentral:lncRNA from 1 species